rnacentral:piRNA from 1 species
UGUAAUGAUCAGACUACCUUAACUGUGAC